rnacentral:rRNA from 1 species
UACGUAGGGGGCAAGCGUUGCUCGGAAUCACUGGGCGUAAAGCGCACGUAGGCGGAUUGCUAAGUCAGGGGUGAAAUCCUGGAGCUCAACUCCAGAACUGCCCUUGAUACUGGCGGUCUCGAGUCCGGGAGAGGUGAGUGGAACUGCGAGUGUAGAGGUGAAAUUCGUAGAUAUUCGCAAGAACACCAGUGGCGAAGGCGGCUCACUGGCCCGGUACUGACGCUGAGGUGCGAAAGCGUGGGGAGCAAACAGG